ACCCCCAUCACCCCCAGGUCGCCCUGCAGGCACUGUGUGUUUGGACAGCUGGAAGCAGAGCUCGGCCUGUGACCUGCCUGGUCCAGCAACUGGACCUUCUGGAGGUGAGCCUGGGAGUGGCCGAGCAGAGGAAAUCACCCCCAUGGGGAGGUAGGGGAGGGGUGAGGCCCCCCCCACCAGGUUCUGGAAUGUUCCGUGGGCUGGAUCCUGGAGAACCCACUUCUCUGGGCUCCAGAAAGGCAAGGGCAAUGUUUCUUUGACCUGAGAAAGCAAAGCAGCCCCCCGACAUCCUUCCACACACUCAUCCCCUCUGGUGGGGAGCCGGGGGGACACAUAUGAGAUGGACAGGGUGGGGGCCCACACCCCAGGCUACUCGGACAGCAGGGGUCAAUCCCGACGGGCUGGAGAAACCUCAGGCCCCAAGUGCACCAAUGGCCCAGAUGGCUGGAGACCUCUUCCUUUGUCUCCUCUGUCUCCAAGAUCCAGGAGCCCAGGCUCAGCCUGCGAACCACCUGGCCCUGGCCCUGGAGGGGGAUGGGGAGGGUCUGUGACCAUCCUGGGGGGUAUCUGCGCCCCCUUCUUCUACCUGGGGACAAGGGCGCGAAGUCCCAUGCAGCCCCCAUGCAGCCUCACGUGCCUGACGAUGGGAGCCAGGCCAGCCCCUCACACGGGUGCUCCUGGGCAGCCUCUCUGGUAGCCUGGACGAGUCACCCCAGGGGCACAUGCUCCAGGCAGCCCCCUCACCUCAGGGGGCAUGGGAGGCGCUGGGGGUCUUCAGCUGGUGAUGGGGUGACUGACGAGGAUCAGCCCCAACCCCGGGGUCCUCUGGCCGCUGGCAACCGGAGCACUCCCCCAGUUGGAGCUGAACCAUGACUCCAGUCCUUCCCAAGAGAUGGUGGGGAAUCGUCACCAUGGCUGGAGUCCCGCAGACUGGGCAGGCCAGACAGGCCCUUGGAGGAGGCUGGUGGGAUCCGAGUGGGCAGAGGGGAGACGGAGGAGGGAAAGGCAGCCCCAGCCUGCGGUGGUGCUUGUCCUGGGCGGGAGGGGCCCUGCUGUCACUGACGUGGGAACCACCGAGUCACCGGAGGGGCAGGGGCAGAGGGGUCUCGGUGGAAAGGGGGUCCCCAGAGGCCUUGGGAGACGGGGGAGGUGCCUAGGGCUCUCUGGCCUUGGUCUCUACCAGCUCAACGAGGGCUUUGUUCCAGGGGCCCCUGGGUCCCUCUGCCUCCAACAAUCUGGGCUGCGUUUUCUGAGCACCUACUGUGUGCUGGGUGUGGGCGUCCGGGCAGGCACUGACUAAGCCUUGUCCCUCCCCAGAGUCACAGUGAGACACACAGCCACAUCCUGUAAAUGAAGACCUCGUGGCUCAGAGAGGUCAGGUAACUUCCCCAAAGCCUGUCUGGCCUCCCAGCACCAUCCCUAGUCCCAGAGGGGAGGUGGAAUGAAGGCAGGGCUAAGGCCAGGCUGCAUGGAGGCAGAGGCACCUGCCGGCCUGCAGGACCAAAGGUUCUAUUGGAGGCAGUGCCUGGGCAGACAAAGGCCCUCAGAUUCACAAGCUGAAGCCCUAGCACCCAGGGCCCCAGUGUGCUACUGUGUUUGGAGACAGGUAAAGGUUGUCAAGGUAAGACAGGGUGGCCCUGAUCCAAUAUGACUGGCGUCCUUGUAAGAAGAGGAGAUUGGGACAGACACGCCCCGAGGGAUGGCCAUGUGAGGGCGCCUCAGGAAGACGGUGUGCAAGAGCGGGAAGCGGGGCCUCGGAAGAGCCAGCCCUUGGAUCUCGGGCUUCCAGGAGAAUCAGUUCCUGCAGUUGAAGCCACCAGGGUCUGUGCAACUUUGUCACAGCUGCCCGAGCUGACAAAUUCACCUGACUUAAGCCCCCCGCCCCACCCGACCACAGUGUCACCCAGAUGCUUGGCAGGUGCUGUGGCAGGGGCUGGGUCCCUGCUCGACCUUCGGGUGCCGGGGUGUCCCGUAUAAGAGCAGCACAGCCACCGCCACGGCCACUCGCAGUUCCAGGCUCCGGGCAGCAUCUGGGACCCCAGUUCCUGUUGUGAGAGGCUCCCCACUGCCAUCCCACCCCCUGCAAGGUGCCUCGGAGAGCGGCUGGAGGCUGACGGGUCGAGGCCUGGGUUUUACGGUCCUGCCUGGGUUUCUGUGUGGCCUGGGGCUGCCUACCAUCUUUCCCUCUCUGGUCCCCCCUACUCUCAUAUACCAGGCUGGGUGACUGGGGCCCAGGAGCGGCCCCCCCCUCCUCUGGGCUUCCUGGUGGCACCCCUGGCCUGACAGCCCCUGGGAAGGCCUCCCCUCUCCAUCUCGGGGCCCAGCCCGGCCCCACCUGCUGAGCUGCAGCCUCCAAGGCCUCCUUCGCACGCGUGUCAGCUCUGACCUCAGGGCUCCCCACGCGUGUUCCCCUCUAGGAAGGCCCCCCCAGGGGCUCCCCAAAAUCCUGUCCUCCCUGAAGCACCUGUUCUUCGUGCUCCUCCAUGAGGGCCCGCACGGGGCCGCUGACCGCAGUCUCAGUCACAGCCUGGGAGCGCCUGGAGGUUGGGGGGCAGCAGGCGCUCAGUCAGUCCUCGGGUCACCAUGGAUGGCCUUGCUGUGUGAUCCACACUGAGGCCCAGUGGUCAGCUGGGGGGCUGGACAGGAGGCAGCCACUUCCUGGCCUGGCUGGUGACUCACAGGCCCGUUUCUGGGAAAACUCCCACCCACCCCCACUCAAUCCGGAUGGCGCAGAGCUCGCUGUGGGGACCAGCUGUGGGAAGUGCAUUGUGAUUAGGGGCCGGGUCUGGGGGUGGGGAAGGCGGGAGCCGGGGCGGAGGGUGGGGUGGGGUGUGGGACGUCUCCACCAGAGGCCUGCCUGGGCUGCUGAGCUGUGCAUCCCGUGUGCCCUGACGCUCCACAUGCUCCCUCACCGGGCAGGGGUCGGGGGCCCCGAAUAUCAUCACAGGGAGACCACACGAGGCUCCUGCCUGAACCCCUCCUCAGGUCCCUCACGCUCAGGGGUGCCUGGCCCAGCCUCGCCUUGCCCAGCCUUGCCAAGGCCAGCACAGCCCAGGAGUAAGCCAGAGAAAAGAAAAUGCCAUUCGGAAAAUCCUAAGGAAGAGAGGAUGCAUUUCCUCGUCUCCACGUGGAAGCGGAUCACCCUAAAGGUCUUCAUCCUGGUCUUUUUCAUGCUGAGGAGGCUGGGGAGGAGAAGGAAGAGGAGGGGCUGGUCUUGCUGACCCAGGAGCAGCAGAGAAAGGAGAAAAUCCACGUGCAGGGGCUGGCCAGCGCUGGGCUUCUCGGGAAUGGAAUCACACACGGACUGUGGCGUACACAUCACAACUUUAAACCCCGUCCGUACUGAAGCCUGCGUCCGAAUUUCUUCUGUUUUUGUGGCGGAAGGAUAAAUAUUCCAUUGUA
ensembl:lncRNA LINC01451 long intergenic non-protein coding RNA 1451